GCUAGUUCAAAUUGGAUGAAUUAGCAUAGGAAAGAUGUCCAGGAAACUAAAGACACAAGUGACAGAUGACUUCAUUUAAUAGUAAAUCAAGUAUCCAUGAUACAUUAAUAUACAAUUUCAUUAUGUCACUCAAAUGUUGGUGACAGGGUAAAAAAAGGUCUAUCAAUUGGGACGAGAAUGAACACUCAAAUAUUCACUAACAUUUGACUUGGGGGUACAAGUGUUGGAUCAGCCUAUGAAGGAAAGACUACCAACAUAAAUUUUUUAUCAAUGGAGGCAAUAGAGAUGCACAACCUUGCAAUUUCAUGUGAGACACUGCAAAAUUCGAACUUCUACAAGUAGCUUCUCAAUUGUGUACCCUUUUAACUGACAACCUCAAAUCACACGAUUUCGUACUUUCCCCGCAUCGGCAUUCACAAGGAAGAAGCAUCAUUGCAUCGGUCCCUUUUAACCUCUCUUCCCACCAUUUCAAGAACACAAUCACAAUUGCAGCAACUCGCGCGAAUUCGUCCCUCCCAUUCAAAA